rnacentral:lncRNA from 1 species
CUCAAAUUAGAAAAUUAUGUACUAAAUCAAUUGAGAAUUACUGCAUGCAAAGAUAGCAAAGUUUUCCCUAAAACUAAUUUUGAUAUUGAUAAAUAGAAUAGAAGAAAAUGAAAGUAUUCAAGUACACCUGUAGGUGUGUUCGACUUGGUGACUAAACAUGGUUUUGAUUGGAUUCAGUAAUAAGUUUAGCAAAAUAUGUAAACAAUAAGGCAGCAACCAGAUUUUCUGGGGGGGGG